AUGGGUAGAAAGUGCACCUGGAGAGCAACAGGAAGAUAUUUGACAGAAGGACCAUGUGACUUCAGACAGAAUGUGUGUGUUAAGUGGAAGGUGGGAAAAAAGGAUAAGGACUGGAUUGCAACUGCAGAGGCAGCAACAGCUGAACCUUUAAAGAUGCAUACGGGGCUGCACAAAGAGAAGAGAGAAACUGGAGAGACCAAUGAAGUGAGGAAAAAGUAUGUUUCCUGGGUAAACAGUAUAAUUCUGAAUGUUAAGUUUCUUGCCAUAUAUCAGUUACCAUCAAUUUGUCAUGCCUAAGCCUUUAUAGCCAAUAUUUAUUGCUGCUAAACAUUUUUUCUCCUUCCUUGACUUUUAUUGGUGAGCUCUUUGAUCAAAUGAUUCUUUUAUUGAUUAAUCUAAAAACUGUAUAUUGAAUAUAUAGUUGAGGUGACUUCAUAGGUCACUUGAUAGGAGCCUGUUUUAUUAUAUCUUAGGUUGACCAUUGGGUAUUAUGAAAGUAGAGUUGUGUGCUGUGUCUCUUGUAACGCACAGGUUUACUUCAAGGUCAGCUUUUUGGUCUGAGUGCAAAACUUAAACUUCUGCUUUAUUAAAUGACUGAUUUGAAAAACUCUGGUUUGGAUACCAAGUUAUCCAAGCUAUGUUCUUGGCAGUGCCCUCUGCAAUAGCAAUCUUAAUACUAAAGACGAAGCAGACUGGCAAAUAAUUAAUGUAAAUAGCUGUCGCUUUCUCUUGAUGAAAUAGAUGUGCCCUAGUAAAGUUAUAUGUGUGUGUGUGUGUGUGAGAGAGAGAGAGAGAGUUGGGAACUCAUUUUAUUGUUACCGUGCCUCUCACAAGCUUAGAUAUUGAGGGGUUUUGUUGUUGAAGUUUUUUUAAGUAAAGCAAAUUUAUUACAUUAUUUAUGAUUAUAAAGAACCUUUCUUCAGUUUACUGAUUAGAGUGUUUUGGAAAGAAAGCAAAAGAAAUGGAGUCAGAGUUAUUGCUGGUAUGUAAUGGAGGCUCUGUGCACAGGAGCCGGGCUUGGACAACCCAUGAGAGCAUCGCUGCGUCUCCACCAGCCUGGGCCACCCAGCCCAUGGGAAUUUCCCCACAGUUGUUACUUGUGGAACUUCCUGCCUCAUGGUGGAUUGUAGCCAGGCUGCUGUUGGCUAGAAGAUACAGUCCUGUUUUCUCAUUUUUUAGCUUUGAGUUGCAAGGUGGAGUAAAAACUGUUCAGUGGCCUUUGUAUAUCAGUCCUCUAAGCUGAAAGUGGCAUAAGGCAGGUUUGUUUGUUUGGCCAGGCCACACAGCUGGUGGGAACUUAGUUCCCCAGCCAGGGAUCGAACCCAUGCCUAUAGCAGUGAAAGCACUGUGUCCUAACAACCAGGCUGCCAGCCCAGUCCCCAGGCCAAGUUUAUCGUGAGUGAACUCAUGCACACAUUUUCUAGUGCUCACCUUCACACCGACUCUGCGUCAGUUAUACCAUCUCCUUACGGUUCUCCAGUCGGUCUUCAGUCUUCUCCUCCUGGACAGCCACAUGGCCCCUGCCCACCUUCUCCUUCAGGUUUCUGCUGGCGGGGGGAUGGGGGGGGGGGGGGUGGGGG
rnacentral:lncRNA from 1 species